rfam:Camelus ferus unplaced genomic scaffold scaffold160, whole genome shotgun sequence.
GAGGGUAUAGCUCAAGUGAUAGAGUGCAUGCUUAGUAUGCAGGAGAUCCUGGGUUCAAUCCCCAGUACCUCCC